rnacentral:misc_RNA from 1 species
GCAAACUUGGUCAUUUAGAGGAAGUAAAAGUCGUAACAAGGUCUCCGUAGGUGAACCUGCGGAGGGAUCAAUAACAUAUUAUUCCAAAUAUGGGAAAAGAGAGAAUCCAAAAGGGGGGUAACCCUUUUUUGGGCUCUUUUUCUCCCAAAACACAAACAAACAAACAAUCACAACUAUUGAAAUGAUUUGGAUAAAAGUGUUUGCCUGAUAUUAUAUUGAUUUGGAAAAGAAAAACACACAACUUUCAACAACGGAUCUCUUGGCUCUCACAUCGAUGAAGAACGCAGC